UUUUUUAAUGUCUUUAAAAGUUAGGUGGUAUUGAAUUAAGAUUUUUACAAAGUCUAUAAAAGUAUUUUGGUAUUCAAAAAGUCAUAGACUUUUCAGAUUUCUAUUAAAUGAUAGACUUUGAUAGACUUUAGAAGAAGAAUUAUAACUAUCAACCCAUAUCCAAAGUCUGGCCUCAUCUCUAAAGAUUUCUAAAGACUUCCAAAUAAACACAAAGGUGGAUAAAACUAGUUAUUAAUUGGACUUUGUGUUUUAUUGGGUCAAACUAAUUAUUUAUUUAUAUGGGCUAAUAAAUAUUAAUAUGUGAUGG
rnacentral:lncRNA from 1 species